rnacentral:lncRNA from 1 species
GGGUUUCAAAAUACGCUCGAUACACCCAAUCGAAUUGCAGGAGAAAAUCAAUCAAAGAUCAACGAAGAUGAUCGAGGUGGUGUUGAACGAUCGUUUGGGGAAGAAGGUCCGUGUGAAGUGCAACGACGACGACACCAUCGGCGACUUGAAGAAGCUCGUUGCAGCGCAGACCGGUACCCGUGCUGACAAGAUUAGGAUCCAGAAGUGGUACAACAUCUACAAGGAUCAUAUCACCCUUAAGGACUACGAGAUUCACGAUGGCAUGGGUCUUGAACUCUACUACAAUUGAGUCUGUAGUUAUUAUGAUGCCGGUUACGAUUGUAUACAUUUGUUCAUACAGAAACCAAAAUGUUGCGAUUAAAUUAUAAAUAAAGGUGAUUCCACAAGAGAAAUUGCAAACAUUACAGGAUGUCAUGGGCAAGAAAUUGCAGUGCUAUCUAAAGUUGAAUCCCAUAAUUAUUAAAGGUAGUGUUUUGAUAUCGUCGUAGCAAAGAUGGAGUAUUUUGAUCUUGAAUGAAUAUCAAAUCUUAAGUGCAACUUAAAUAGAAAUGCCGGUUAUUUUAACGUGUAUGGUCCCUGCUAUUUUUUCCCAUGGCCAUUCAGCUUUUCUUUUUGGUUUCCUUGGGUCUCUGUGCAGUAUUUAUAUGCUUUUUGGCUGGGUGUUUGGUUGGGAUGAUUCACAAACAAUUUCUAAUCCAUUUCUUUUUAUUUUUUAUGCUUCUACAAAUAACUGAUAUUACAAAAAACAAUAUUAUUGCAAUAUUAAUUGAUUAAAAUGGGUGACUUUCAACCUGACCCUUUUGACCCGUUCAUGUUUUAGCUUUUUUUUAUGAUCCUUUUGAGCUACAACACAAUCCCAACCCAAAUCGAAUGUAAAUGGCUCACGUUUUGACAUAAACGUUUUCCUCAAGCGAGUCUGGUAAAAACUAAUACGUUUUAUACUUAGUUUGUGUACGUUCGUAAACUGUAUUUGAAAGCAAGUCGGGUCAGAUAUAAUUCGUUUUCAUUCAAUGAUAAUGUAAUUUUUUUAAGUAAAGAGUCGG